AACGAACGCUGGCGGCAUGCCUAACACAUGCAAGUCGAACGAGACCUUCGGGUCUAGUGGCGCACGGGUGCGUAACGCGUGGGAACCUGCCCUUAGGUUCGGAAUAACUCCCCGAAAGGGGUGCUAAUACCGGAUAAUGUCUUCGGACCAAAGAUUUAUCGCCUUUGGAUGGGCCCGCGUUGGAUUAGCUAGUUGGUAGGGUAAAAGCCUACCAAGGCGACGAUCCAUAGCUGGUCUGAGAGGAUGAUCAGCCACACUGGGACUGAGACACGGCCCAGACUCCUACGGGAAGCAGCAGUGGGGAAUAUUGGACAAUGGGCGAAAGCCUGAUCCAGCAAUGCCGCGUGAGUGAUGAAGGCCGUAGGGUUGUAAAGCUCUUUUACCCGGGAUGAUAAUGACAGUACCGGGAGAAUAAGCUCCGGCUAACUCCGUG
rnacentral:rRNA from 1 species